rnacentral:tRNA from 1 species
AUUUAAAUAGCCUAUAUAGGGUGUAAUAUUGAAGAUAUUAAGGAAAUAAUUUUUAUUUUUAAAUA